AGAGUUUGAUCAUGGCUCAGGAUGAACGCUGGCGGCGUGCUUAACACAUGCAAGUCGAACGAUGAUGGGAGCUUGCUCCUGGAUUAGUGGCGAACGGGUGAGUAACACGUGAGUAACCUGCCCUUAACUCUGGGAUAAGCCUGGGAAACUGGGUCUAAUACCGGAUAUGACUCCUCAUCGCAUGGUGGGGGGUGGAAAGCUUUUUGUGGUUUUGGAUGGACUCGCGGCCUAUCAGCUUGUUGGUGAGGUAAUGGCUUACCAAGGCGACGACGGGUAGCCGGCCUGAGAGGGUGACCGGCCACACUGGGACUGAGACACGGCCCAGACUCCUACGGGAGGCAGCAGUGGGGAAUAUUGCACAAUGGGCGCAAGCCUGAUGCAGCGACGCCGCGUGAGGGAUGACGGCCUUCGGGUUGUAAACCUCUUUCAGUAGGGAAGAAGCGAAAGUGACGGUACCUGCAGAAGAAGCGCCGGCUAACUACGUGCCAGCAGCCGCGGUAAUACGUAGGGCGCAAGCGUUAUCCGGAAUUAUUGGGCGUAAAGAGCUCGUAGGCGGUUUGUCGCGUCUGCCGUGAAAGUCCGGGGCUCAGCUCCGGAUCUGCGGUGGGUACGGGCAGACUAGAGUGAUGUAGGGGAGACUGGAAUUCCUGGUGUAGCGGUGAAAUGCGCAGAUAUCAGGAGGAACACCGAUGGCGAGGGCAGGUCUCUGGGCAUUAACUGACGCUGAGGAGCGAAAGCAUGGGGAGCGAACAGGAUUAGAUACCCUGGUAGUCCAUGCCGUAAACGUUGGGCACUAGGUGUGGGGGACAUUCCACGUUUUCCGCGCCGUAGCUAACGCAUUAAGUGCCCCGCCUGGGGAGUACGGCCGCAAGGCUAAAACUCAAAGGAAUUGACGG
rnacentral:rRNA from 1 species